GGUUCUGAAACUCAGAAUGAACAACACCUCUACCCAUUCUGCAUGCCGGAUAACAAGGCAGGAUUGUCCUUCUAAAGAAAGAGGCUGAAAAAUACCUUCCGAGCCUCUUCGAUAAAGAAGGCAUCAAGUUGAGGAUCAGGGAUGCCCUUUCAACCCAAGAGUGGGGUUUGAAAUACAAGUACUGGACAAAUAACAAAAGCCGAAUGUAUGUGCUCGAAAACAUAGGAGACUUUGUUCAGGAAAGUGGAGUGGAGGUGGGAGAUAGCAUUCAUCUUUAUGAAGAUGAAUGCAAGAAUCUUGAACCAAUACGUCUCCAUCCACCGGCACAGAGCAAGGCCAGUACAUGUAGUUGAGCCCUCCUCAACCUCAUAUCAUCAACAAAACUAUACUGAUACCAACACCAACACCAACACCACCAUCGAUAACUCCAACACCAAAAUCUCUGCCAACGCAACAAGCAUAUACACUCCAUACGCCUACAACGAAAAUCGAACUGAUAAAGACGAGACUUCUUCAACAAUAGUAUUACAACAACAACUAAAACGCGAGGAACAACUAGAAGAAACAAACAACACGGUGACAUUGUUUACGGAUCCCGCUCCUUCAUAUAUAAAAAGUGAAGAAGUCAACAACUCCAACAAAUACGUCACUAGACAACAACAAACCUCUACUCAUCAAUUAGCCAUGGCUGAGAUAUUUGGGUCCUCAUCAUCAUCCUCACCGAGUACAGUGAAGAUGUCUGAUGAUAACUUAGGCGACUGCUAUGAAGGACUCGGGACGCUCUCGGAAGUCCAUCGUUUUGAGUUUGAUUUUGACGACAUAAUGAGAGACGACAAGACGUUAUAGUGGUGUACAAUGUACAAUAAUCUAAUGAGAUGUGUAUCUAUUCAUAAGGCUAUAUAUGUUAGCAAGAUUCUUUCUACUUAAGAAAUCUCGACAUAAUCUUCUAGAAUAUUGCCUUGUAUAUAUUCUGUAUUCAAAUCUUAGAUUAUGUAAUCUUGUCUAGUUAGAUAUCCUACUUACAAGGCUUAUUGUACUCUAUAUAUACUAGCAUUGUAAUGAAAAUACAAUUUCUACACU